UACAGAGGUCCCAAGCGUUGUUCGGAUUCACUGGGCGUAAAGGGUGCGUAGGUGGUCGGGUAAGUCUGAUGUGAAAUCUCUGGGCUCAACCCAGAAAUGGCAUUGGAUACUAUUCGGCUAGAGGAGUGGAGGGGGGACUGGAAUACUUGGUGUAGCAGUGAAAUGCGUAGAUAUCAAGUGGAACACCAGUGGCGAAGGCGAGUCCCUGGACACUUCCUGACACUGAGGCACGAAGGCCAGGGGAGCAAACGGG
rnacentral:rRNA from 1 species